GUGCCAGCCGCCGCGGUAAUACCGGCAGCUCAAGUGAUGUCCCAUAUUAUUGGGCCUAAAGCGUCCGUAGCUGGCCGCGCAAGUCCGUCGGGAAAUCCACCUGCCCAACAGGUGGGCGUCCGGCGGAAACUGUGUGGCUUGGAACCGGAAGGCUCAGAGGGUACGUCCGGGGUAGGAGUGAAACCCCGUAAUCCCGGACGGACCACCGAUGGCGAAAGCACCUCGAGAAGACGGCUCCGACGGUGAGGGACGAAAGCCAGGGUCUCGAACCGGAUUAGAUACCCUGGUAGUCC
rnacentral:rRNA from 1 species